GAUGAACGCUGGCGGCGUGCCUAAUACAUGCAAGUCGAACGAAACUUCUUUAUCACCGAGUGCUUGCACUCACCGAUAAAGAGUUGAGUGGCGAACGGGUGAGUAACACGUGGGCAACCUGCCCAAAAGAGGGGGAUAACACUUGGAAACAGGUGCUAAUACCGCAUAACCAUAGUUACCGCAUGGUAACUAUGUAAAAGGUGUCUAUACUACCGCUUUUGGAUGGGCCCGCGGCGCAUUAGCUAGUUGGUAGGGUAAAGGCUUACCAAGGCAAUGAUGCGUAGCCGAAUUGAGAGGUUGAUCGGCCACAUUGGGACUGAGACACGGCCCAAACUCCUACGGGAGGCAGCAGUAGGGAAUCUUCCACAAUGGGCGAAAGCCUGAUGGAGCAACGCCGCGUGGGUGAAGAAGGUCUUCGGAUCGUAAAACCCUGUUGUUAGAGAAGAAAGUGCGUGAGAGUAACUGUUCACGUUUCGACGGUAUCUAACCAGAAAGCCACUGCUAACUACGUG
rnacentral:rRNA from 1 species